UACGUAGGGUGCGAGCGUUAAUCGGAAUUACUGGGCGUAAAGUGUGCGCAGGCGGCAGAGCAAGUCGAGUGUGAAAGCCCCGGGCUUAACUUGGGAAUUGCGCUCGAAACUACUUUGCUGGAGUGUGGCAGAGGAAGGUGGAAUUCCACGUGUAGCGGUGAAAUGCCGUAGAGAUGUGGAGAACACCAAUGGCGAAGGCAGCCUCUGGGCCGAACACUGACGCUGGAGG
rnacentral:rRNA from 1 species